rnacentral:lncRNA from 1 species
CUCUCUCUCUCUCUCUGUCUCUCUCGUCUCUCUCUGUCUCUCUCUGUCUCCCUCUCUCUCUCUGGUUUUGGUUUUGGUUUUGGUUUUAAUGGCUGCACCUGCUGCACAUGGAGUUUCCCAGGCUAGGGUCUAAUCAGAACUACAGCUGCCGGCAUAUACCACAGCCACAGCAAGUCACGAUGUGAGCCGAGUCGGUGACCUACAGCACAGCGCAUGGCAACACCAGAUCCUUAACCCACUGAGCGAGUCCAGGGAUCAAACCUGCAGCCUCAUGCUUUCUAGUCAGUUUUGGUUCCGCCGUGCCACAACGGGAACUCCAAUUUCCUCCUUUUGUCUGUCAGUUUCAACUAUGCAAGUCUACACUGUUCAAAUCAGUGGAGACCUACAUUUUUCCUGGGUUGGACGAGUGUUGACGGAAUGUCUCUCCCAAUGCAUGACUGAUUGAAAAAUUGACAGCAGCCUCUAGAAACUGGAAGUGCGGCUGAGAGCAAUGUUACCAGCAGAGAAUUGCCCUCCUUGCAAGAGAAUUUGGUGGGUUUUGGUCAAAGUACACAUAAGAAUUCCUACAGGAAGAUUUGAAGCCUUUGUCCAGGAUGACCUCUGUGUUUUCUUUGGGACCGUGGACUCGAGGAGUGUUUCCCUUUUGGGUUUUGCUGGGCAGAAAGACCAUGAAAAUUCUCAUGUCCAUAGAGACCAGGAAGCUUAGAUUCUCACACUGUUUUCUUGCACUAGAUGCCGGCCGAUGACGCAACUAAUAAUAAUGGCAUGGCUUUGGAGCCCCACUCCAGUGACAAACAAUCGGGGUGAAGAAGAAGAAGGUGGGUCUUCCUUGCGGGCAUUGGUUGGAGAGCAGCCAGAUCCUGGGUUCCUUUUGGAAACCUCUGGCUGCAUCAGAAAGUUAUGCUCCUGGCGCCACCAGCGAGUGCACCCCGCUAAUGGGUCGGGGACAGGUACGUGGAGAUUUUCUCCUUCGGUGCAUGCAAGAAUAAUUUUUCUUUAGGGUCCCCUGUAUACGAAUGAACUCGGAAGUAUUUUGUGGUAUCCUUUGUGCGUGCAUGCGUGCGUGCAUGCGUGCGUGUGUGUCCAAGUUGAAACAUACUUAGUCAGGUGGUAGUGUU